ensembl:lncRNA
CAAAAAUGAGUGAUAUAUAUUUUGUGUAAAGAAAAUAAAAUGAAGGCCGUUUUUAUAUUAUAUUGUAGCAUAAUUUGUUUUGAACCCCCAACUGUCAAAGCACCAACAAUUGUGUCAGUUUAAAUGUUUGAAUUUGAAAGAUUUUAUUGACAUAUUCACAUUUUAUAGUUUGACAGCUAAAGGAAAACAUUUGGCUCCAUUAUCUUAAGUAAAAUGUUAUUUUCCCUCAUUCUGAUUGGUUAUAUAUAACCUGGACACGCUGUUGACAGUUUUUGUGAGAUUCACCUUGCAGCACAGUAAAUUAUGACUCAUGUCAUGUGUUGUAGCACUGGUGUAGCGUCAGCGUGAGGAGAUGCAUUGUAAAAACAUUUGUGACAAUGAUUGUUCUAAAGCAAACCUAUUUGACUGUACUUUUUUAUUGACAAUGAAAAGUUGUUUGAUCACCACAUAGUUUUGACCAAAAUACAAUCAGUAAUAAAUAAAAAAUGGACACAAAAUAAAAUGAUUCUCUGCGCGUGCAAAACAGGGACGUACAAACCGUCGAAGUGUCUGAUAUAACCGAAAGAUGGGAGGUGGAGGGCUGUACAACAGACGUCCCCCGCGUCUCGAACGGAAACAUUUUUACACCAAAAAGAAAUACACAGUACUUAAGCCGAAGGAGCCGCUUGGCGUGAAAGACAGAAAGAGCGAGAGCACGUCGGCACCUGUGGCGAACACCCGGCGCAGAGCAGCCUCGACCCUGUCCUCCGCGGGCUUCUGUUGUUCUCUUGGCAGUGUGACUCGUCGGAAUUGUUUGUUCAGGCCAACUUUAAGGUACGACUCUGAAAGAAGUGAAACAGAAGAGAAGAUCAGAUGAUGUUGCGGUUCGUGUGUGUAUAUGAAACAGGUAAGGCUUGUAAUUUGAAGUGAAAACUUGUAGGUUUAGUAGAAGGUAAGAUGUGUCAGCUGUUUGAUUAGCUGAGACAGUAAACUUUUUGCUUGUGUUUUGCUUGUUAGAAUGUUGCAUUGUAUUUAGCCUGUCUUGCUUUGCUAUCACAAGGCAACAUGUCAAGGCAUACCAAAAUGUGCUUUUGCAAGUGACGGGUGUAAAAGUGUCCCGUCAUUGCUUAGAGCACAACUGUUUAUGUUGCUUGAUAGCACUCGCAGUGGCCAUCUAUGGAGAUGGAUUGUCAGGCUAGCUCUGUGAAUGAGCCGUUGUGACAUGCAUACAUGUAUAAUUGUGUGUAAGUGUGGAUUUGUGCUGUAGUUAGGGUGGGAAUGAAGGGUUCAUCGGGACUGCAUUAGCUGCGUUUACAUGGACCCUAAUAAUUCGAUCGUAAUAGGAGCACAAUCAGAAUAAAAAAAGUCACAUGUAACCACGUCAAUCGGAUUGAAUUGGCCAGAUCCGAUUCAGAUUUCGAUCGGAUUGUAAGGGGUGGUUUAUUCCUUUUGUAAUCCGAGUGAGAGGACAUGUAAAGACUUGAUCGGAUUGAAAUCUGAAACUGGAAAGUACUGCGCAUGUGUAGUGACGUAAAAAUAGCGUAAUGAGGUAUGACACGCAGAACAAGCUGUUCUUCCACGUGAAUAAAGUGUCAUAAAUGAGUGUCUAGUCAUUCAAAAAUUCUGCUUUCACUCAGCGUCUGUGAAGAGGAGCAGCACGUCCCACCAGUCCUUGUUUAAGACACGGAAAGGGUAACUUUGACUGCUUUCUAAAGUAAGCAGCACAGCACAACAGUUCAUGUGCUAGUUGUUGCAUAAUUAGGAACCGAAGUAAAUAAAAAUUAAGUGUGCUUUUUAAAAAAUUAUGCGACAACAGCGGGAAACUCUGUGUAUUCAUGCAGUGUGCGCAUGUCAAAAGAUUAAAUCCAAUCAGAAGGUUGUGACAUAAAUGAGCAUAUCAUCCCGAUCACUUGAUGAAGCGUUCAUGUAAACACUACGUUUGGAUUUGUCAAUCAGAAUGAAUACAUUCCGAUGGAAGCAAAAAGUGUCCAAAAAACGUAGCUAUUGUUUCAGUGCACCUGUUUAGAAGAACAGCAGUGGCGGUUCGUGUGUGAAAUAUGGUGAUACACAACCAUAUUGUUUUUUCCCAAUUGCAGUUGUGUAACUGCUUUUUCCCAAAAGUUGUAUUGUGGUUAGGCAAAAUUGGACCGUAGUGAUUGUUCCCAUUCUGAAUUAUUAGAUAGCUUGGUUUGAUGGGUUUUUUCAUCCUUGAUUCAAAAGAGCAGCUCCAGGGUUUGUUUUCAUAUAAUUCAUGUAUUGUUGGAGCAAACCUAACUCUCUUAAUAUGGAAGUGCCUGUGUAAGCUGGGGUUUAAAAGUAUUGUAGUUGGUAUGUUUGUAACGUAUGUGUAAAGCUGUCUAGAUGACUUGUAGCAGCGCGAGCAGUGUUGUAUGUGGAUGAAGUUGUAGCUACAUGUAAUGGCUGAUCAUUUUAGUGUGAAUAGUGUAAAUGUAUUUGAUUGAGGGAGGGACUUUAGUUCACUUAAGUGUUGUUUAUUGAAAGAAUUGCUUUGUUUUCAAGAUGAUACAGCAGAGGAGAGGUGCAGCGAACAUACUAAGGCUGAAAACGAGUUUAGCACAGGUGUGAGACUCACAGCUUAUAGUAUUGAUGUUCUCUCAGCAAGAGUAGGUCCUCACAGUGGAGCUGUCCAGACGCUGUACCGCCGAUGGUCCAACUGCAUGGAAAUAAAGAUAUGCAGUGAGUAAAUCUUUUGGGAGUCAUUUGUCUGUAUAUCCAUCCAUGUGUUAAAGUGGCUGUGGAGUUUUGUUAAUGCAGUGUGUUGAGUGAUAUGUGUUUUUCAGAUGUCUAAAUCAGAUGUUCAAAAUGGAACUAUGUACUGUAUGUAUAUUCCUCUAAUUCAAGUGGACGUAAGAGGUGGGCAAUAGUGUGAUUUGUUAGGGUGUUGUAGGUCUUUUUUUGAGAGAAAUUGAAGACAGACCCCUUGGAAGUGAUCAGUCACUCUAUUAUGGCCUAGCUCCCUGGUUGCCUCUGUGUGUCUGUCUGUCCCUGUGUGUGAGUGAGGGAUAUGACAUGCUUGCAAGUAGUUUGGGGGGUCAGUAGCUGUAGAAAAGGCUGUUUAUGCCAUGUAGGAUGAAUUUGAGACAAAUGCUUUGAUUUGUGUAAUGAGGUAUUUAUUGUAUUGGCGUUUCUUUGAAAUGAUCAAUAUUCAAUCCCUAUGACUGAAAGGAAUUAUAUAUACGAUUGUGGAGAAGGUGAAUCCCUCCAAUUAUGUGGGAGGGAUUCACCUUCUCCACAAUCGUAUAUAUAAUUCCUUUCUUAAUGUGUUUUGUAUCAUGGGGUCACCAGAAACCAGUACAGAACAAUGUGCAAAACAAUGAGACUGUUAGUAAGUGGUUAAUAUCCAAACACAGAAUAGAGGAAGAUCCAGCAACACUGGGGAAAGGGAAACAUGAAUAAAACACUGCUCAUCCGUGUACAUGAGAUACAUACUGAGCUCACAAUGAUGAACAUACUGUUUCACUGAACAGUGUGGCAAGAGUAGUAUUAGUGAAGCAGUCGGUCACAUGAGGCCAGAUUGGUUGUCGGUAAAGAGGAGGCAGUUGCGUAGGGUUUUAAUUGGUAAUGAGGAGAAGUUGUGCAGAGUCAUGUGAAUCUGCUGGUGAGGUGUCAGCUGCGGAUGGCAGAGAAGGAGCUAUGUAAGCAGUCAGUUUGCCUGGAGCGGCAGCCAUCAUGCGGCAGCUGUCGUGUCCAUCCCUGGUCAUGCAAAGACCGGCUCGAAUCUAACUGCGCGACACCAACAGACGCGGCGCGCUACGCUCUUGUUUUCCUUCCCUCAGCUUGCUUUCCUUUCACAGCUACUAACACCUCAACGAAGUAGCCACAUCAAGCCAUGGACUCCUCUUGUUCUCCUGCAAGCUCCUUCAUGCCAACACCUUUCAAGGUACUCACACACAACUUUGCUACUACUACUGCUAAAUGGUGGCUGGCUUACACAGCACAACUCGCACAACAGCUCAACCAAACCACUUUCUGCUAAUUACCAUUUACACUAUUUAGCAAAACCCAGCCAACCACUAACUAGCUUACACCUGCAAUACUGCUUACUAACUUCUGUUCCAGAUCCUGGAAGCUUGCACAGAAGCUGACCCCUGGAGUUCCUCAGGGAUCUGAGCAGAGUCCCCUCCACGCCAGGGAUUUCAAUCAAGCCACAUUUAGUCUCAAAAAUGCUGCCUCCAAAACAAAUCUAUUACAUGCUUCAAGUGUCUCUGAUUUCUGAUGUCCAGGCCAGCUAGACAAUGCCCAGCCCACAUUUCUAAGCAGCUUUCUCACAGCACCAUCUCAACAACUACUACUGCCCAUUCAUCCACGCUUCAGCACCACCAAAACUCUGUCUGUCAUUUGACAGACCAAUCACCGGUCUCUCACUUCCCUAAGAUAGAAAAAUAAUACAUCAAUCAAGAAACAACCACAUCUAAUAUAUAUAGCACUGCCACUCCUCCCUAAAUCAUUCCCACUAAACCUGCUCCAUGCUACUGCAAGAACACAAAUAUGGUGACGUACCUGUAGGAUUUCUAUCAUGAACAGACAGGGAUAUGCAUAUGCCAUUGAAUCAACCAUCAUGAGGUCUAAACUAAUCACCCCAUCACAUGACGUGAUUAUUCUGGGUCGACUGCCCGUCAACCCUUGUCGUCAUCUCCGCCUCAGAAGAAUCGGAAGAGUGAUGAAAAACUAAUCCAAUCAGGAGACAACAGAGAUCUUUUGUAUCAAGGACUAAAGAGUUCUUUCACAACAUAUA